CAGCGGAAUCGACCGAAAUCAGAUAGUCGUGCCGCUCGAGCCGUGCGAGUCGUGUUCUAUCCUGGCUGGCGUGUUUACGUCGUUUCGCAUUUUCCGGAAGUUGAUUCCUGGUAGAAAUUGGAUCGCAAGCAAUUGUUUGGGGCUAAUGCAAGUUGGCUUUUUUUUUCGUGUGUCCUGAAUGGGAUGAAUGGAGUGAGUGUUGACUCAUAACAAAAGGUAAAAUUUUCGCUGGGAAUGCGAUACCAUUAGUGACUACGGUGAUGGUCAGAUGUCGAGCACGACCGGAUUAGCUGGAUUUCGGGAAAAGAUCUCAGUGUUGUCCAGUUUUGGCGAAAUGUGUAUAUGCUUUGUGUAGUUCAUUUCCCGGAGAUAAGUCAAGAGUAAACAGCUUCAAGAAAGUAAAGAAAUCCUUAUGCUUAUGCAGGGUGUGUUUAGGAUGAAGAAUAUGCUACAGCCGAGUGUGAAGGUAGCUUAGAUGAAAGCCGUCUUGUGAGAUAUUUCUGAAUUUAAAGGCGAAGAAGGUGCUCGACGUCCCUCGCUUAAUGCCUGUAGGAAGAUUGACGAAAAGGAGCGUGUAAAAGAGGUGAAAAUUAUUUUAGCAGAGUGCUUUUCAUCAAUCAUAAUGUGCUUACUUGGAGUGUUGACUUCGGUGGGCGGAAGCGUGACGGGAACCUAGUGGGGUAGGUUAUAAGUGGAACACGAAUCGCUGACUUCGGAACAUCCGUGGAGAAGCGGAAAGCUAAAGAAUAAAAAGAAUAUUUUUCUGCUUGCUUAUCUCCUGAGAGCUUUUGACUCCCGUGUUGUUUGAUGUGCGGACAAGGAGAAGUAGAAAGAUACAAGAUCGAGUGGUUGUCCUAGGAUGGUAAAAUCUACAGUUGAUUAAAAGCAAACACUUGGCCGGGGUCUAUCUACUACCGGCAAAGUAUAUCAAGUGAGUUUUUUUUUUGUCGGUGAUUAAUUGUAAUGGUGAUGUUCUCAAGUUCUGCACGAUAAAAAUAAUUAGAAGGUAAAACGUGUCUCUUGGUAGUGAUAAAUUUCUGUGACAACUUGAAAAGUGAGCGAUACCUGGCUCCGUGUCUAUCAAGCUUCAUAAAAACCAGCAGCAGCAGCAGCAGUAGCAUCCAGACUAGCGGAUAACACGACCUGAAUAAUUUAUGCAGCAAGAGUGAGUCGCACGUGGAUGCUGCAACGUCGAGCCAAAGGACAUCAGUAAUCUUCGUCAUAGUCGUCGUCGCUGUUGGCGAGUAUCAAAUUAAUCAUACAAUUAUUGGUCCUCUGCGGGUCGUUUGUGACCCUGAUCCGUACCGCUGUGCCACCAGGAUAGCCCCAACCGAGUGAAUCCGGAUAAAAUAUUCCAAAACCGUGCAAACAAACAUUAUUCAACGUCCGAUACCGUAGGAAAAGCUCCUGUUUUCACCGAAAAUUUAUGUGAAUCAAAUAUUUGCCUCUCAACUCCGAGCAGUGAAGCUGCAAAAAAAGGAACGACCCACACUCGGUGAUCUAUUUCAAUUGAUGCUCUCUUGGUGUGAAAAAUUAGAAUUUGAAAUUUUCGAGUGUUUCGUGCUGUGCUCUGUGCUUUGUGCCCUGUGUGUAUUCACACCAUAAAUCGAGUGAUUUGAAAGGUUCCUGCUCGAAGGAAAAAAAAACAGCAAACCACAAACCACCCCCGCGAGUGCUCGCUGCUACUCAAAGGUUGGUUUGUUGUUUAUUUUGGAAUUUUGCCGUCGUUUUAAUCCUCGUCAUCGUCAGUGUGAGUGAAGUGGAGAAAAAUCCAAUAAAUUCCAAGUUGUUGUUGCUUCACUGCCGACUCUCGGAAUACCAUCAAUCAAUAAACCCAAAUUGGAAGCUUUCACGCGCCUCGAAACGGAAGCAGGUGGCACCGGGCGAGGAAAGUCAAAGAAUCUCGUGUCAGAAGCAACCGGAAAGGAAGAUACGGCAAAGCUGAUACGCCGAAAAUCUGCUCCCCCACAAGCCGCCUUUAGGACGCUCGUUCAGAGCAGAGAACGGGAGGGAAAUUCUUCGGAAUCAAUUUCCCUUGCUCGCUCCGGAGAUGUGAAGAAAACCGUGUGCUUAUCCUGCCACCUUCCAGCGAAUAUAAUAUCCAUCACUGAUAACGAGAUCAGACGUCUGUGCACCAUGCGAGCAGAAUAAUCGCGUAACAAUCGAGAAUUGUGAAAAGCCCUCGACAAAUUCUAUUUCCAUUCCGAGGGAAAUUGUAAAAACACAGAACAUCGGAUUUACCUGUCUGCGAUUGGGGAUAUGAUAAAUAAAUAGCCAUCAUCGUACACGUUCAUGGCCGAAUGGUGCCCGAAGUGAACCGUUGCUGAAAAUGGCAUUGUUCCAAAGUUAUUCUGCCGACGUCAUCAACCUGCUGUGCGCUAGGUAACCGCAGAUUCGACGGGGAGUGAAAAUUCCGCGUAUUCGUUUUUAUUUCUAGCGAUCAGGGCAAUUCAGGACAUUCCAUAUAGAGGGGGGUUCAACUACAAUGACAGCAGUGAUGUCGCAACAGGAUCGUGCUAAUUUUGUGUCCGUCCUGCCAGCAGCCGUGUUUCGGCUCGGAUGGUGAAAGUGUGGCGUGAAGCGUGACAAAGUGCAAAAAUUGUGUGCACAGUGCGUUUGUGCAUUUAGCAGGGUUUAAUUUUUUAUUCUAAAUUCAAAGCUGUGCUAUUAGUUAUUGCUUGGUGGAGCGUAACGACGACGAAACCACAGAAGUGUUUUUAAUCAAAACGUCAAAACAUAGUUAAAAGGUCUCUGCGGGUGCACCGGUUUGCACACAUUGUCAACUGCGGCGAUUUCUACCAACAACAGCAACAACAACAACAGCACAACAUAUUCAACAUGAGGAAUCGAAUACAGGUCACCCUGGACAUUUGGGUGCUGGUCGUCUAUGU